AACAAAUUUCUAAGAUUUAAUUGCUCGCACUUUUGUCCGGUACCUCAACCAAGAAAACGCCACGAGCUAAACUUCCCUGCCAGGCAAGCCGGCGGGUUAUGAGGUAGGGUGGGCAAGUGUUUUUCCUGUAUUUAUUGGGGAGUAAAACCGCCGCGCCAGGUGGUCCUUUUAAGUCUGAUGUGAAACCCCCCCGGCCUCCCCCCCGUGGAGGGUCAGUGGAAACUGGGGGGACCUUGAGUGCAGAAGAGGAAAGUGGAAUUUCCAAGUGUAGCGGUGAAAUGCGUAGAGAUGUGGAGGAACACCAGUGGCGAAGACGACUUUCUGGUCUGUAACUGCCAAUGAGGCGCGAAAGCGUGGGGAGAAAACACAAUUAGAUACCCUGGUAGUCCACGCCGUAAACGAUGAGUGCUAAGUGUUAGAGGGUUUCCGCCCUUUAGUGCUGCAGCUACCGCAUUAAGCACUCCGCCUGGGGAGUACGGUCGCAAGACUGAAACUCAAAAGAAUUGACGGGGGCCCGCACAAGCGGUGGAGCAUGUGGUUUUAUUCGAAGCAACGCGAAGAACCUUACCAGGUCUUGACAUCCUCUGACACUCCUAGAGAUAGGACGUUCCCCUUCGGGGGACAGAGUGACAGGUGGUGCAUGGUUGUCGUCAGCUCGUGUCGUGAGAUGUUGGGUUAAGUCCCGCAACGAGCGCAACCCUUGAUCUUAGUUGCCAGCAUUCAGUUGGGCACUCUAAGGUGACUGCCGGUGACAAACCGGAGGAAGGUGGGGAUGACGUCAAAUCAUCAUGCCCCUUAUGACCUGGGCUACACACGUGCUACAAUGGACGGUACAAAGGGCAGCAAAACCGCGAGGUCGAGCCAAUCCCAUAAAACCGUUCUCAGUUCGGAUUGCAGGCUGCAACUCGCCUGCAUGAAGCCGGAAUCACUAGUAAUCGCGAAUCUGCAUGCCGCGGUGAAUACGUUCCCGGGCCUUGUACCCACCCCCUUUCCCCCACGAGAGUUUGUAACACCCGAAGUCGGUGGGGUAACCUUUGGAGCCAGCCGCCCUAAAGGGGAACCAAUGG
rnacentral:rRNA from 1 species